CGGCGCGCUUAACACAUGCAAGUCGAGCGAGAAAGGGGCAACCCCGGUAAAGCGGCGCACGGGUGAGUAACACGUAGGUAAUCUACCCUCGGGUGGAGGAUAACUUUCCGAAAGGAAGGCUAAUACUGCAUGAGACCACGGCCUCGAAAGGGGAUGGGGUCAAAGCCGGCCUCUGUACACAAGCUGGCGCCUGAGGAUGAGCCUGCGGCCCAUCAGCUAGUUGGUAGGGUAAUGGCCUACCAAGGCGAAGACGGGUAGCUGGUCUGAGAGGAUGAUCAGCCACACUGGAACUGAGACACGGUCCAGACUCCUACGGGAGGCAGCAGUGGGGAAUCUUGCGCAAUGGGCGAAAGCCUGACGCAGCGACGCCGCGUGAGUGAUGAAGGCCUUCGGGUUGUAAAGCUCUGUGGAGAGGGACGAAUAAGUGUUGGCUAACAUCCAGCAUGAUGACGGUACCUCUUUAGCAAGCACCGGCUAACUCUGUG
rnacentral:rRNA from 1 species